rnacentral:rRNA from 1 species
CUACGGGGGGCAGCAGUGGGGAAUAUUGCACAAUGGGCGCAAGCCUGAUGCAGCCAUGCCGCGUGUAUGAAGAAGGCCUUCGGGUUGUAAAGUACUUUCAGCGGGGAGGAAGGGAGUAAAGUUAAUACCUUUGCUCAUUGACGUUACCCGCAGAAGAAGCACCGGCUAACUCCGUGCCAGCAGCCGCGGUAAUACGGAGGGUGCAAGCGGUAAUCGGAAUUACUGGGCGUAAAGCGCACGCAGGCGGGUUGUUAAGUCAGAUGUGAAAUCCCCGGGCUCAACCUGGGAACUGCAUCUGAUACUGGCAAGCUUGAGUCUCGUAGAGGGGGGUAGAAUUCCAGGUGUAGCGGUGAAAUGCGUAGAGAUCUGGAGGAAUACCGGUGGCGAAGGCGGCCCCCUGGACGAAGACUGACGCUCAGGUGCGAAAGCGUGGGGAGCAAACAGGAUUAGAUACCCCGGUAGUC